GCUCACCUACCCUCGCCGGCUCUAAUAUCUUGAAGUCCCUUGCUGUGCUUCUCUUUGCAUACCUCAGUAGGUUCACUUUGGUCACCUUACUGAGUCGGAUUAAGUACUUCUCGUAAUCUUCUAUCUGGAAGAUUAAGUCCGGCAGGCAGGAUGGUGCACCGGGCGACAAUACAUAUCAAGCAUGGUUUAAAAUAAUCUGUGAUGGAUGAAGGUGAGCAUAGUCCAUUCUCAGUCUCGAGCACAAUACCUUUUGCAUAUCAGCCAUGAAGCUAUAGAGAGGAACAGUGAGCUGCUUGCAGGUCAACUCAACGAGCUUCUCGAAUUUAAGGCCUGGGAGAAGCUGCUUGCAACCUCUUGGAGCAAUCUUGAGCUUUGACAUCUGAGCUAAUUGUUUGUAGAACCUCGCAAGUAGUCUAAGCAAGUGGUCCGCUUGAGUAUCUGCAAACGUCAGUAGGAAACAUAAGCGGUAUGUCUGUGAUACUUGGACAAAGUACAGAAGAUGCAUAUUUUUCAAGUUAUCAGUCCCCGAAGAAAUGAGAUCUUAUAUCACCCUUUAAGUUCAUCACAAUAAAUGAUGAUAA